GGGGGUGUAGCUCAGUGGUAGAGCGCUCGCUUUGCAUGCGAGAAGUCCCGGGUUCGAACCCCGGCUUCCUCC
rnacentral:tRNA from 1 species